CUUCAGGUGACUUUGGCAAGAACAGCCUGUGCCGAGCUCGGUCACCCCAGAAAACAGUAACAAUACCAUUUCCAUCAGCGUUUUUGAUUCGGAAGAGGACCGCUGCUAACUGUGUGGGGCCAAAAGCCACUACGACAGCAACAGAGAUGAUUUCUCGUACACGUGUUACACUCAGUCACAGCUGA
rnacentral:lncRNA from 1 species